rnacentral:rRNA from 1 species
GUCUAUGGCCAUGCCACCCUGAACGUGCCCGAUCUCGUCUGAUCUCAGAAGCUAAGCAGGGUCGGGCCUGCUUAGUACUUGGAUAGGAGACCACCUAGCAAGACCAGAUGCUGUAGGCG